GGGCUCGCUUUGGCAGCCCAUAUACUAAAACUGGAAUGAUACAGAGAGUAGCAUGGCCCCUGCACAAGGAAGAGGUGCAAAUUUGGGAAGUGUUCCAUAAAAAA
ensembl:snRNA U6 U6 spliceosomal RNA